rnacentral:rRNA from 1 species
AUUGAACGCUGGCGGCAUGCUUUACACAUGCAAGUCGAACGGUAACAGGCCGCAAGGUGCUGACGAGUGGCGAACGGGUGAGUAAUGCAUCGGAACGUGCCCAGUCGUGGGGGAUAACGCAGCGAAAGCUGCGCUAAUACCGCAUACGAUCUAUGGAUGAAAGCGGGGGACCGAAAGGCCUCGCGCGAUUGGAGCGGCCGAUGUCAGAUUAGGUAGUUGGUGGGGUAAAGGCUCACCAAGCCGACGAUCUGUAGCUGGUCUGAGAGGACGACCAGCCACACUGGGACUGAGACACGGCCCAGACUCCUACGGGAGGCAGCAGUGGGGAAUUUUGGACAAUGGGCGCAGGCCUGAUCCAGCAAUGCCGCGUGCAGGAAGAAGGCCUUCGGGUUGUAAACUGCUUUUGUACGGAACGAAAAGGCUCUGGUUAAUACCUGGGGCUCAUGACGGUACCGUAAGAAUAAGCACCGGCUAACUACGUGCCAGCCGCCGCGGUAAUAC